CCCACCCCCUCCCCCUGGGCACCCAGGGUAGCGGCCCCGGAGGAACGGGGUAGGAUCUUGCACGGGAUUCAUCUGAGACCCCUCCCGCUCCCGAUCCGUAGGUGGCCGAGCCCCCCGCUUCGACCCCACCGCCUUUGUGCAGGCCCGGCAGCAGAAGCAGAAGGAGGUCGCCCGCAACAACCAGCGUAAACUGCGUCUCGGCUCAGGGGACCCUCCCUCCGGGGGCCGGGCCAGGGGCCGCCCCCCUUCCCGGGCCUCCGGCACCGCGCUGGCCCGGGCAGGUGCCACAGGGAAGAGCCGGACCCGCAGCUCCUCAGUGGAGAGUUUCCGGAGUCAGCGUUCGUCCUUCAGCUCCGGCAGUGAGUUGGAGGAUUUUUCCGAGCCCCUGCUGCCCCGCAGUGGCCGCCGGUGCCUGAGGAAGAGCAGACCGCCCUUGCGGGCCUCAACCUGGAACAGCCCUGUCGGGGUGCCCCCUCCUACUGGCAGCCGCCAAAAACGCCUGGUCAGCAGCACCCCCAGCCCCGGAGGUCCUGGCAAAGGUGAGGGGGCCGGGCGGGGAGACCCCAGUGCCCCUACCAGAUCCGAUCCCACCUCGGUCCGCGCCCCCAGCCCGCACUGCCCGAGGCUGAGGCCACCGGGACCGUCCCGUCUCCCCACCAGAGAAUGAGCUGUCGGAGCCGGCGGCCCAGCUGUCCGACAUCGACGCGCGGCUGCAGGCGCUGCAGGAGUACAUGACCCGGCUGGACACGAGGACGUGACCCGGAGCCCGGCGGCCGCAGAGAGGCCCGGGAGACGGCCGGGGGCCGGGGCCGGUGUCCGUCAGGGGGUUGUGUGUGUGUUUGUGUCCGUCUUUCUGCCUGCCUGUGGGCAUUUGUAAAUAAAACCGUUCGUUCACUAAUGCAAGAAACCUCUUGCAGCGACGCGCUGAGCCGAGCAGAGUGGGGUGAAGGGUGGGACGGAGCCAGUGGGGCUGCUGCCGUGCUCUGGCUGCUAAGGGGGAGGGGCGAGCCGCGACCGCUUGACUGGCCCACCCCGGCCCCCGCUGGGCCGUUCCUCCUUGCCACCCACUGCAGCUUUCAGGACCAGGGGUCGAAAAAGUACAUUUCCUCCAGGACGCCUUCCUUGACCAAGUCCUCAUUUCCUGUUCUCCCACUCCCUUCUGCAUCACCCUUGCACGUGGAUUAGUACCCUUUAUUCACCCCUCCCUCAGGCCCACAGCGCUUACCUACAUAACCCAUCACGCAGUAAUCGUAUCUGUUACACGUUCUCUGUGCCACAAAAUGUACUGAGCACUGGGGGAAGGCAGCAGCAUGGCUUAUUGGAUAGAUCAAGGGCCUGGGAGUAAGAAAGUCAUGGGUUCUGAUCCUGUCUCUGCCACUUAUCUGCUGUGUGACCUUGGGCAGGUCAUUUCACUUCUCAUGUGCCUCAGUUACUUCAUCUGUAAAAUGGGGAUUGAGACUGUGAGCCCCACAUGGGACAGGGACUGCGUCCAACCCAAGUUGCUGGUAUUGACCCCAGUGCUUAGUACAGUGCUCGGCACAUAGUAAGCGCUUAACAAAAACCAUCCUUAUCAUUACAAGAUCAUCGGAUUGGACACAGUUCCUGCCCCACGAAGGGCUCCAGGUCUCAAUCCCCGUUUCACAAAGAGGGAACUGAGGCACAGAGAAGCUAAGUGAUUUGUCACACAUCGGACAAAUGGAUCUGGGAUUAGACCCCAGGUCCUUCUGAUUCCCAGCCCCCUACUCUAUCGGCUGGGCCACGCUACUCUAU
rnacentral:lncRNA from 1 species